AGCGGUCCAAGUUCCUUGGAACAGGACGUCACAGAGGGUGAGAAUCCCGUACGUGGUCGCUAGCCUUUACCGUGUAAAGCCCCUUCGACGAGUCGAGUUGUUUGGGAAUGCAGCUCUAAAUGGGAGGUAAAUUUCUUCUAAAGCUAAAUACUGGCCAGAGACCGAUAGCGCACAAGUAGAGUGAUCGAAAGAUGAAAAGCACUUUGGAAAGAGAGUUAAAAAGCACGUGAAAUUGUUGAAAGGGAAGCGCUUGCAGCCAGACUUGCCUGUAGUUGCUCAUCCGGGUUUUUACCCGGUGCACUCUUCUAUAGGCAGGCCAGCAUCAGUUUGGGCGGUUGGAUAAAGGUCUCUGUCAUGUACCUCUCUUCGGGGAGAACUUAUAGGGGAGACGACAUGCAACCAGCCUGGACUGAGGUCCGCGCAUCUGCUAGGAUGCUGGCGUAAUGGCUGUAAGCGGCCCGUCUUGAAACACGGACCAAGGAGUCUAACAUCUAUGCGAGUGUUUGGGUGUCAAGCCCGAGCGCGUAAUGAAAGUGAACGGAGGUGGGAACCUUUCGGGGUGCACCAUCGACCGAUCCUGAUGUCUUCGGAUGGAUUUGAGUAAGAGCAUAGCUGUUGGGACCCGAAAGAUGGUGAACUAUGCUUGAAUAGGGUGAAGCCAGAGGAAACUCUGGUGGAGGCUCGCAGCGGUUCUGACGUGCAAAUCGAUCGUCAAAUUUGGGCAUA
rnacentral:rRNA from 1 species